rnacentral:rRNA from 1 species
UACGAAGGGGGCGAGCGUUGUUCGGAAUCACUGGGCGUAAAGGGUGCGUAGGCGGUCUUGCAAGUUGGGAGUGAAAGCCCAGGGCUCAACCCUGGAAUUGCUCUCAAAACUGCAAGACUUGAAUUCGGGAGAGGAUAGCGGAAUUUCCAGUGUAGUAGUGAAAUACGUAGAUAUUGGAAGGAACACCAGUGGCGUAGGCGGCUAUCUGGCCCGACAUUGACGCUGAGGCACGAAAGCGUGGGGAUCAAACAGG